rnacentral:lncRNA from 1 species
GGAGAAGGCUGCAGUAGAGGCUAGAGCUAUUUUUCCUGGCAACAGACCCAGAGAGAAGCUCAACACUUGGAGUAUGAAAGGAGAGUUGGAAAGAAAUCAACUGUGGAAUAACUGCUUCUGAAGACUGAAGUCCAAGAUCAAGGUGCCAGCAGAAUUGGUGUCUGCCUAUGGACCACUGGAAGGCCCGGCCAGGGGUGUGGUCAUCAGGACUUCCCAAAAGCACAUCUCCUUCCUCUGUGGCUUGACUGUGUGCCUCUCCUCUCGAGCUGCAACUGUACCAUGAGUCUCCCUUCCAGAUCAAAAGGAAGAUCCCGACCGCAGUCCUUUGGAAUAAGAUUUGCUAGUAUUCAAUGUUCUUUCUUGUGUCUCAACUCAUAUCCAUAUUUUCUUCUCAGAAUUCCAUAGGUUUAGCCCUUUGGGGGUUUUUACUUUUUUCUUCUUAUUUUUUAUACUGCCUGUUCCUACUUUAUGCUGUGUUUUACCCAUAUUUAUGUCAUUUUAAUCAGUUCCAUAAGACUGUGUUUGAACUCCCCACCUCCACUUGCUUUUGUUUUGGGUGAUGACUGUGCUGUCCACCUCUGCCACUUGUUUCAGGCCCUACUACUUUUUCCCUCCAAUGUUCCUUCUUUUGUGUCUGCCAUCUAUUAUUGCUGAAUACGUUAUUGUCGUUUUUGUCUUCUUAUUUUAUUUUCUCCUCUUCUUCCUUCAGUGGAUGUCUUGAGAUGUUCUUGCUUCUUAUGUUCCAUGUUUGCUGACAUAGGGCAAAACUAAGAAUCUGCGACAAGACAAGCUGCUUUUUCCUCUAUCAAAGCUGCCUUCAUCGGGCAGCUGUCCUUCAUUCUCAAUUACUUUAUCUACUCUUUUUUGCCUUUUUCACAUCCAACCUGUAAUCUAUAUUUUCCUUUCUUCAGCUAUAUCUUAAACUGUUAAAAUAGAGCCUGACAUGUAGUACACAUUCAGUAAAUAUCUGUUGAAUAAAAGAAAACAAUAAAUGAAUGAAUGGUUGUUUGGUAA